CGCCGGGGUCGCGGUGUCCUGAGGGGCCCGGGCCGCGAGGGCGACGUCUGCGGCUGCAGCGGCGGAGACUGAGGGAGCCGUCGCGGCCGCGCUCGGGCCGGGAGGGGCCGCUGCCGACGAGACCCAGCCUGAGGACUCCUCUGCAGCCGCGGGUCGCCAUCACGGAAGGGGCGCUGGGCAGAAGUCCGUGCGUGGGCUGAGCGUCGGGCCCUGGGUCCCGGGAUGCCCCUGCCUGAGCCCCGCGAGCAGGAGGCCGAGAGUGGGACAGCCGGCCCGGAGCCGUCGCCCGAGCUGAAACCCAGCAAGCUGGACGCAGCCCCCAAGCCGCUGGAGUUCCUGCGGACCCCGUUUGGGGGCCGCCUCCUGGUGCACAAGUCGUUCCUGUACAGGCAGGAGAAGGCCGUCGGGGACAAGGUGUACUGGAAGUGCCGCCGGCACGCCGGGCUGGGCUGCCGGGGCCGGGCCAUCACCCGCGGCGCCCGGGCCACCGUGAUGCGGGACCACUGCCACCUGCCAGAUGAGGACAGCCUGCAGGCCCUGCCCGAAGCCUCGGGGGACCCUCAGGCCCCCCAGGGCCCUGGAGGCCACAUGGAGGAGCCGGGUGAGGGAGUGGGCCCGUGGCUGGGCCCCGAGGAGUCAGAGCCCACGCCGGGGCAGGUGCUGAGCAAGCCAGCCCUGGAGGAGGAGGAGGAGGAGGGGCCCCGGGCCCUGUCCCUGCUGACUCUGCCUCCCAAGAAGCGCUCGACACUGGGGCUGGGCGAGUACCUGCCACCCAUGCCCCCGUUCGGAGCAGGGCAGGCUGGGCCCCUGGAGUUCCUGAGGACCUGCUAUGGGGGCAGCUUCCUGGUACACGAGCACUUCCUCUACAAGCGGGAGAAGGCAGUGGGGGACAAGGUGUACUGGACGUGCCGGGACCACACGCUGCACGGCUGCCGCAGCCGCGCCAUCACGCAGGGGCAGCGGGUCACGGUCAUGCGCAGCCACUGCCACCCGCCCGACGUGGAGGGCCUGGAGGCCCGGCGGCGGCAGGAGAAGGCGGGCCCGGACGGCCUCGGGGCCCCCGAGGACAAGCCGCUGCCGGCCGUGGACAGUUCGCUGUGCCGCAGGGGCCCGGGCCCCCUGGCACUCUCCAGGCGCCGGCCCAGAAAGCGAGCCAAGCUCGAGGAGCAGGACCUGCCGGACCUGGAGGCUGACCCCGGAGGCCCUGAGUUCCUGAGGACCCCGCUGGGGGGCAGCUUCCUGGUGCACGACUCGUUCCUCUACAGGCGGGAGAAGGCGGCCGGUGAGAAGGUGUACUGGACGUGCCGGGACCAGGCCCGCAUGGGCUGCCGCAGCCGUGCCAUCACCCAGGGCCGCCGUGUCACUGUGAUGCGCGGGCACUGCCACCCGCCCGACCUGGCCGGCCUCGAGGCCCUGCGGCAGCGGGAGAAGCGACCCGGCCCAGCCCAGCGGGAGAGCCCAGCUGGCCCCGAAUUCCUGAGGACCCCGCUGGGGGGUAGCUUCCUGGUGCACGACUCGUUCCUCUACAGGCGGGAGAAGGCGGCCGGCGAGAAGGUGUACUGGACGUGCCGGGACCAGGCCCGCAUGGGCUGCCGCAGCCGCGCCAUCACCCAGGGCCAGCGCGUCAUGGUCAUGCGCAGGCACUGCCACCCGCCUGACCUGGCCGGCCUCGAGGCCCUGCGACAGCGGGAGAAUCUCCCCAACCUGACCCACUGGGAAGGCCCAGAGCCCACGGAGCCCCUGGAGUUCCUGCGGACGUCGCUCGGGGGCAGGUUCCUGGUGCACGACUCCUUCCUCUACAGGAAGGAGAAGGCGGCCGGCGGGAAGGUGUACUGGAUGUGCCGGGACCAAGGCCGCACCGGCUGCCGCAGCCGCGCCAUCACCCAGGGCCAGCGCGUCAUGGUCAUGCGCAGCCACUGCCACCCGCCUGACCUGGCCGGCCUCGAGGCCCUGCGGCAGCGGGAGCGGCUGCCCGGCCGGGCCCCGCAGCGAGAGCCAGAGAAGACACAGCUCCUGCCUGACGCGCAGCUGGGCUUGGAGACAGCUUCGGCCGAGAGCCAGCAGAGCGACAGGUGCGGGGUACAGUAUCAAAGCACCAAAACCAGCUGCACUUCCGUUCAUUCACAAUGAACAUCCCAGGAGUGAAGUCCGGGAGACAGUGACGUUCCGGGGACAUCAGUGACACAGGCACACCUCGCCCCCGAACGCACGGGACCAGGUGGAAUCUGACACGACAGGCCAGUGGGAACAUCCCCUGUGCUCGUGGAUCUGUGUGCAAACUCCAGGAGCCCUGAACAGUCAGAGCUACAGCGUAACGAGCAAAGUCGACAACUUACACUCUCGGUAUCAAAACUUGCCACUGGCCGGUGCUGUGGUGUCGCAGGUCAAGCCGCUGCCUGCGACCCAGACAUCCCUUCCAGAUGCUGGUUCAAGUCCCCGCUGCGCCACUUCUCAUCCAGCUCCCUGGGAGUGCACCUGGGAAAGCAGCGGAAGACGGCCUGAGGACUUGGGCCCCUGCACCCACAUGGGAGACCCGGAUGGAGCUCCUGGCUUUGACAUGGCUGUUGGGGCCAUUUGCGGAGUGAACCAGUGGAUGGGAGCGCUCCAUCUCUGUCACUCUGCCUUUCAAACCAAUGUUUCUUUCAAAACAAAAACCACCAUAAAGUGUCAGUACUAAGACAGCGUGGUACUGGCCCAGGGACCAGCAUCCACCAGAAUCGGAAUACUUCCGCCCCGAUGGACAGGACAAGGGGAGGGAGGAGCGAUGGUUGCACCGCACUGGGCACUCCCGGGGCCACAGAUGGGAGGCCCAGGGCCCCUCCUCGCACAGAACACAGCAGCCACUUCCGCCCCACCACGGAGCUGUCCUGAGAGCUUGAGUUACAAAACCCAUUUUCAAGACGAGUAAAUCUUCGACACCCUGAAUCAGCCAGGGGUUUGGACAGGAGACCAGGAGCAUAAACCCCCAGUCCGAGGGAAAUCCGACCUCGUCACAGGGGUGCCACACGUGGGAUUUGGACAGGAGACCAGGAGCAUAAACCCCCAGUCCGAGGGAAAUCCGACCUCGUCACGGGGUGCCACACGUGUCCCGUGCCAUCAGGGACGAAAGGGCGACCUGAUAUAGGACACUUGUCCAUCACACACGCACCUGACUGGCAUUCUCGGCCCACAGGACACCUGACCAGGACUCUCGGCCCACAGGGCUGUGUAGACUUUAACCAGACCCAGGCUGACGGGGGUGAAGACACAGCCGAAUAGCUGUCCCACCUCUCCCCACUCCCAGGCACAGGCUGCUGCCGCGCACGGGGCCCCAUGCCCACUGCCAGCGUCCAGGGACUGCGGGUGAUGACCUCGGCGAGACCCCGCCCUCCACCCUCGGUGUGACAGGAGCACGAGAGACUCACAGCCCGACGGCGAGUCCCAGUGAGGCCCCUCCUGCUGCAUGGGGACCCCCGCCCCUCCCGGCACCCACAGCCUGUGCACCGCCAGCCAGGGCUCUUGGUAGUGCCGGGGCAGGUGGCCUGCACACCUGAGCGAGUGACAGCUCCGAAGCAGCACCGUGUGCAGACGCCUUGGCCGGGGUCCUCCCAGCGGGGGGCAGCCUGCUUCCCCUCAGCCAACUCAGAGCCCAGUGCGCGCCACGCCACUGACCACGCCAGAGCCUGCCACGUUCCACUCAAACGACACAGACCAUCCCACUCUGCGCUGCGGACUCCUGCGCAACUUGCCAGAGACCACCACCCACCACACUGACCACGCCACAGACCAUUCCACUCUGCGCUACGGACCCCUGCACACCGCACCAGACUCCCCACAGGAGCCCAGGGGCCUCCCGGGCAUCGCUCCUGCGCCAGGCUGCAGCCAGCCCCAUCCGUAAUGGCCCGGUCGGCAGCGGCCCCACCACGCCCUCUGGGUGCUGUCCUGCCUGCGCCCUGCUCCUGGCUCUGCCUAUGACCGGGUCCCCCGCCAGGUGGCGCUGCCACGGGGGCCUGAGCGCAGCUGUGGGCGGGACUCUGCCCAUGACCGGGUCCCCCACCAGGUGGCGCUGCCGCCGGGUCCUGAGCACAGCUGUGGGCGGGACUCUGCCCAUGACCGGGUCCCCCACCAGGUGGCGCUGCCGCCGGGUCCUGAGCACAGCUGUGGGCGGGACUCUGCCCAUGACCGGGUUCCCCACCAGGUGGCGCUGCCGCCGGGUCCUGAGCGCAGCUGCCUGCGCUGCCCAGGUUCAUCUGAAGCCAGAGGACAGCUGGGUGGGGUAGGUGCCGACGGAGCCCUCAUGGGGCCAAGCUGGCACCACGGGCACUCAGGGCCCUGCCUGGACAGCGGGUCCCCGUGCCCACCCUGUCAUGGGAGAGGGAGCAGCGGGCACUGUGUGUGGCAGGCUCCACCCCGGCAAGCUGGCUGUGGAGCUGUCCGCCCGCCUAGGGGGCAGCGAUGCUGGUGCCCCUGCUGUCCCUCUGUCCCCUCCCCCAAUAAAGACCAUGUGACCUC